ACCAGCAUCCAUAUCAUUCUGCAACUCACAACUGGCAACCCACUGAAGCUAUGCAGGUGUGAUCCUGGUCAGUACCUGGAUGGGAGACCUCCUGGGAAAAACUAAGGUUGUUGCUGGAA
rnacentral:rRNA from 1 species